AUUGAAUAGUUGUUCUUGAUGUGAUCAUGUAGGAUUGAAGAUCCAACAGAGAUUUCUAUAGAAGGUGGCUUGUGAAUAGGUUUAUGCUCUUUGUUUUGGUUAUAGGCUGUCGUGCAUGGUAGUUGCUUCCAUCCAGGGCUUGAUUCAUGGCUUUAAGCUCACUCAAAUCCUAGCAAUGGGAUGAUUUUCGUAUUUUCUUCAGAAG